rnacentral:rRNA from 1 species
UACGAAGGGGGGCUAGCGUUGCUCGGAAUCACUGGGCGUAAAGCGCACGUAGGCGGCUUCUCAAGUCAGGGGUGAAAUCCUGGAGCUCAACUCCAGAACUGCCUUUGAUACUGAGGGGCUCGAGUCCGGGAGAGGUGAGUGGAACUGCGAGUGUAGAGGUGAAAUUCGUAGAUAUUCGCAAGAACACCAGUGGCGAAGGCGGCUCACUGGCCCGGUACUGACGCUGAGGUGCGAAAGCGUGGGGAGCAAACAGGG